GGAUCUCAAGCUGUUUUUUCUGUUUUGAUCAAUUUGUAAAGGCUUCAAAGAAGUUUGCAGAGGCAUGGGUUUGAUGUUAUCACCGUCAUCGCUGCAAAUGUGAGGACCACAUGCAAGGAAUUAUUAGGAUCAAUGGGGUUAAUGAGUCCUAACGUAAUGGAACAACAUGCUUCUAUAAGUUCUUUAACGACCUUGAUGUCUAUACUAUUGAAGGAUACCUUUUUGGAGUUUGAGAAGCAUUUAAAUGGACUUCCGGACCGGAACUUACAUGAUGCACUUUCGAAAAAUGACAUAAAGGUGAAAACACUAUUUAUUGUUGGAUUUCAAAAAUGAUAUUUGAAAGCAUACGUUCUCCUUUUUUUUUUUGGCCGAUAAGAAAACAUAUAAUCUUCACUUGUAUUGGAAGCCUGCUUCUUCUUUGCUUC